rnacentral:ncRNA from 1 species
CCCGGCGCCCACGGGAGCGUCCCGGACGAGACGCGCCGUACCCGGUCAGGAUAAGACGACGCAGC